rnacentral:rRNA from 1 species
UACGUAGGGUGCAAGCGUUAUCCGGAUUCACUGGGUUUAAAGGGUGCGUAGGUGGGUCUGUAAGUCCGUGGUGAAAUCUCCGAGCUUAACUUGGAAACUGCCAUGGAUACUAUAGAUCUUGAAUACUGUGGAGGUUAGCGGAAUAUGUCAUGUAGCGGUGAAAUGCUUAGAUAUGACAUAGAACACCAAUUGCGAAGGCAGCUGGCUACACAAAUAUUGACACUGAUGCACGAAAGCGUGGGGAUCAAACAGG